rnacentral:tRNA from 1 species
GAGGGUAGAGCUCAGUGGUAGAGUGUGUACUUAGAAUGCACGAGGUCUUGGAUUCAAUCCCCAGUACCUCUG